GAAACUAGUUAAGUGGUGAAAUUCCUAAGGGAAUUGGUGAGAUUGGUUCACUUGAGGAGUUGGUUUUGGAAGCUAAUCAGCUUGAUGGACAUCUUCCUAAAAACCUAGGAAAUUUGAGCAACUUGAAGAGACUUGUUCUUAAUGCAAACAAUUUUACAGGCACAAUACCAGAAACGUUUGGAAAAUUAACGAAC